CAAAUUAAACUGUAAACAACUUCUGAUUGAUUUGGGUUUUUAGUUUAGUUCAAUAUUAUUAAUUCAGAAAAUAUAAUACUAAGGAUCGGGGAGUAUUAUAAUAACUGUUAGUAUAAUAGUACCAGGAUGAAUUAAGUAUAAAGACACCAAUAACAGUUAGCAAAAAAUAUAAACUUGUACAAUGCAAAAAAUAUAGGUUUCACAAGUAAGGUACAGCCUAAUUUCCAAA
rnacentral:lncRNA from 1 species